UCUUCGGAAUGAAUUUGAUUUAGUUUAGUGGCGGACGGGUGAGUAACGCGUGAGUAACCUGCCUUCAAGAGGGGGAUAACAUUCUGAAAAGAAUGCUAAUACCGCAUGAUAUAUCGGAACCACAUGGUUCUGAUAUCAAAGAUUUUAUCGCUUGAAGAUGGACUCGCGUCCGAUUAGUUAGUUGGUGAGGUAACGGCUCACCAAGACCGCGAUCGGUAGCCGGACUGAGAGGUUGAACGGCCACAUUGGGACUGAGACACGGCCCAGACUCCUACGGGAGGCAGCAGUGGGGGAUAUUGCGCAAUGGGGGCAACCCUGACGCAGCAACGCCGCGUGAAGGAUGAAGGUUUUCGGAUUGUAAACUUCUUUUAUUAAGGACGAAACUUGACGGUACUUAAUGAAUAAGCUCCGGCUAACUACGUGCCAGCAGCCGCGGUAAUACGUAGGGAGCAAGCGUUGUCCGGAUUUACUGGGUGUAAAGGGUGCGUAGGCGGCUUUGCAAGUCAGAUGUGAAAUCUAUGGGCUCAACCCAUAAACUGCAUUUGAAACUGUAGAGCUUGAGUGAAGUAGAGGCAGGCGGAAUUCCCCGUGUAGCGGUGAAAUGCGUAGAGAUGGGGAGGAACACCAGUGGCGAAGGCGGCCUGCUGGGCUUUAACUGACGCUGAGGCACGAA
rnacentral:rRNA from 1 species